GGGGCCGACUGGUUUUGACAGCGAGACCAAUGGUAUUGUAAGCAUGUUGAGCGCUGGGGUACAGCUCAUUAAUAUCAUACUUCACACUUUUAAUUGGCGAAAACAAUUACGCUCUUGCCGCAUAAUCUGAAUUAUAGUAAGAUUUGCCUCGUUCCAACAAGGUUGGAAAGCGAGAUGUCUCUGAACAGCCCUUGUUGGCGGCGGUUCAUUUAGAGGCACCAGAAAAGUCAACAUAAGGUCGUUAUUGCUUUGGUAACGGCACCAAAACUUUAAGAAGCUAAGUGUAUAUUAGGCCGUUUCCGGUCAGGUAUGCAUCGAAAAUUAAUCGGGAACUAAACAUGUAGAAAGCUCUAUUAUUGCUUGUUUGGACGAGGGUUCGAAUCCCUCCGGCUCCACAA
rnacentral:tmRNA from 1 species